AAGUCGUAACAAGGUUUCCGUAGGUGAACCUGCGGAAGGAUCAUUAAUUAAAUUUACACCAUUUUUUAAUUUUCUUUUGAAUUCAGAAGGAAAUUAAAAAAAAAUUGGUUAACCACUUUGUGAAAAAACAUGUUGAAAGAUCUAAUCUUUCAAUUUAAAUACUUAAAAACCUGUAUAUUAUAACUUAAAAAAAAACAACUUUUGACAACGGAUCUCUUGGCUCUC
rnacentral:misc_RNA from 1 species